AUACUUACCUGGUAGGGGAAACACCAUGAUCAGAAGGUGGUUUUCCCAGGGCGAGGUCACCCAUUGCACUGCGGGUGUGCUGACCUCUGCGAUUUCCCCAAAUGCGGGAAACUCGACUGCAUAAUUUGUGGUAGUGGGGGACUGCGUUCGCGCUCUCCCCUG
rnacentral:snRNA from 1 species